UUAGUUAAAGCAAAAGCUUACUUUGUUUCCCUGUUCCUCAGAUCUGGAAUUGUGACUCGCUGGUUAACGUAUGAAUAGGAAAGACAUUUGGCAAAAAGAAGCGCAGUCACUUCCUUCCCUCCCCACACCAUAUGAACCACUGGUCUUCUAUCCGCUGUUCCUCACACACAUGGCGCUGCCAGCUGGCGUCUCUCGGUCUGGAAGGCUGUAGACCCUGAUGUCACCACGAUAUCCCACGGUGACCACCUGGCACCUCCCCAGCCAGCUUUAAGUUCCCAGCUGCAUGGGAAUCUUUUCACCACGUCUUCCUGGACCAGGCACUGGAAAGCACAGCUCACCCGGAACACUUCUUCAGGUCUUCCCGGGAAAUUGUACUUCAGCGCCAUCCUAAUUAUGUCUCUUCCCAGUGGACUAGCUGCAAAAAGUCAAGAGCCUCUUGAAGUCCUCACUGCAAAUGAUUUUGAUGGAAUGAUGCAUCUGCAGACUCCUUCUGUGUCAACAGCCAGGG
rnacentral:lncRNA from 1 species